CCCCCCAGCAAUGGCCAAAGACACACUUUGUUGUUGGUGAUGAUCUUAUAUCAGUCAAGGGCAAAGCAGAUGGAGGUCCUUUGUUUAUCCUGUCCUGAUGCCUGACUUGAUGGUCAAUACCACUUUAUGCCUAGGACACAUAA